rnacentral:rRNA from 1 species
GUGGGGAAUAUUGGUCAAUGGGGGAAACCCUGAACCAGCAACGCCGCGUGAAGGAAGAAGGCUUUCGGGUUGUAAACUUCUUUUACCAGGGACGAAACAAAUGACGGUACCUGGUGAAUAAGCCACGGCUAACUACGUGCCAGCAGCCGCGGUAAUACGUAGGUGGCGAGCGUUAUCCGGAUUUAUUGGGUGUAAAGGGCGUGUAGGCGGGACAGCAAGUCAGAUGUGAAAACCAGAGGCUCAACCUCUGGCCUGCAUUUGAAACUGUUGUUCUUGAGUGUCGGAGAGGUAAUCGGAAUUCCGUGUGUAGCGGUGAAAUGCGUAGAUAUACGGAGGAACACCAGUGGCGAAGGCGGAUUACUGGACGAUAACUGACGCUGAGGCGCGAAAGCGUGGGGAGCAAACAGGAUUAGAAACCCGUGUAGUCC